rnacentral:tRNA from 2 species
GGGCCCGUAGUCUAGUGGCAUGACGCCGCCCUGACUAGGCGGAGGUCCGGGGUUCAAAUCCCCGCGGGCCCA